GAACAGAUCAGGAGGGGGUUUUUCCCAGGGUAAGGCUUAUCAAUUGCAUGACAGNUGUGCUGACCCCUGUGAUUCCCCCAAAUUUGGGAAACUUGACUGCAUAAUUUGUGGUAGUGGAGGAUGCCUUCA
rnacentral:snRNA from 11 species